rnacentral:rRNA from 1 species
UACAGAGGGUGCGAGCGUUAAUCGGAAUUACUGGGCGUAAAGCGCGCGUAGGCGGCUUUGCAAGUCGGGUGUGAAAUCCCCAGGCUUAACCUGGGAACUGCAUUCGAGACUGCAUUGCUAGAGUAUGGGAGAGGGAAGUGGAAUUUCCGGUGUAGAGGUGAAAUUCGUAGAUAUUGGGAAGAACACCGGUGGCGAAGGCGGCGCUCUGGACCGAGACUGACGCUGAGGCGCGAAAGCGUGGGGAGCAAACAGG